rnacentral:rRNA from 1 species
UACGUAGGGUGCGAGCGUUAAUCGGAAUUACUGGGCGUAAAGCGUGCGUAGGCGGUUCGCUGUGUCCGAUGUGAAAGCCCCGGGCUUAACCUGGGAAUGGCAUUGGAAACUGGCGGGCUUGAGUGUGGCAGAGGGGGUGGGAAUUCCGCGUGUAGCAGUGAAAUGCGUAGAGAUGCGGAGGAACACCGGAUGGCGAAGGCAGCCCCCUGGGUUAACACUGACGCUCAGGCACGAAAGCGUGGGGAGCAAACAGG